GAUGAACGCUGGCGGCGUGCCUAAUACAUGCAAGUCGAGCGAACAGACGAGGAGCUUGCUCCUCUGACGUUAGCGGCGGACGGGUGAGUAACACGUGGAUAGCCUACCUAUAAGACUGGGAUAACUUCGGGAAACCGGAGCUAAUACCGGAUAAUAUAUUGAACCGCAUGGUUCAAUAGUGAAAGACGGUUUUGCUGUCACUUAUAGAUGGAUCCGCGCCGCAUUAGCUAGUUGGUAAGGUAACGGCUUACCAAGGCAACGAUGCGUAGCCGACCUGAGAGGGUGAUCGGCCACACUGGAACUGAGACACGGUCCAGACUCCUACGGGAGGCAGCAGUAGGGAAUCUUCCGCAAUGGGCGAAAGCCUGACGGAGCAACGCCGCGUGAGUGAUGAAGGUCUUCGGAUCGUAAAACUCUGUUAUUAGGGAAGAACAAAUGUGUAAGUAACUAUGCACGUCUUGACGGUACCUAAUCAGAAAGCCACGGCUAACUACGUG
rnacentral:rRNA from 1 species